AAAUGUUUAAUAACCACUGUAUUUGAAUGCCCAUUGGUCUACAAUGGGUUAAUCGCUCUCUGUCCCAUGAUUGAAAAUUAUAUUCCACGAUAUUGAUAUUCGGCUUAAUAUUACUAGCUAUCUAGGACCCUCAGCCCUAAACACAUAACUGUAUACGAUUGAUGAAUCAAUUUCCUACAAGAUUGGUUAAUUUUAAGUAUUUAUUUUUAUUUGAUUGUGUCUAAAAUAAGCUUUAAACCAAAAAGGUCACAGCACAAAACGUACACAUGUACGGAAUUAAUGCAAGUGUGUUUGGAAUGAUACGUCAUUCUUGCUGGUCAACCGGUAUCAGUUAUGAUAUGGACAUUUGUAUAUCCUGUUUCCUUUGGAUUUAAAUUUAUGGACCUAUUUAUGCAUCUGAUUUGUGCAGAUUAUAUAUUACAUAUGUACAUACAUAUGUAUAUGCAUAUGUGUCUUGAUUCCGUCUCUGUAAGAGGACCAUUAACUGCAAAAUUUCGUAGGGUAUGCACUGUGCACGACAGGAUACUAGAGCUGCGCGCCACAGUGGCAUUGUUUGAGAGUGAAUGAGUGACAAGGAUAUGAAUGCAAACCAGUGGAAUAAAUGAUGAAAAGAAGCACGAGUUGACAUAGCGAAAAUUAAAAACAACGUGCAUAUGUAUGUUUCAAUACCCUCCGUUCUUUGGUAAAACUGUAAAAAUGAAAUUUAAAAUAUUGACGGAAUCGAUGAAAUAUACCUCGAGUCGAGUUGUUAUUUCAAAUUGAAUCACAUCUGUGACUCAAAAUACUAUUUUCUGGUAUAGAUUGGGAAAGGUCUGUAAAUGUAUACAUUAGAUAGGCCAGUUUCGCACUCCGCCAAUAGAGUCUCCACCGGACCAUGUUCCUAUCCGGUCUCGUUCAGCAUGAUUCAUUCCUUGUAAGUAUUGCUGGUAU